rnacentral:lncRNA from 13 species
AAAUCUGCUCAUCAUGAGGUGCUGCAGAUGCUGGUGGGUUUGCAUACCCACAUUUCGAGCAAAACGUUUUAUCUGCCCUCCCUCUUGGCAGCGGAGAGAUAUUUUUUCAGUUUUAGAGUUCAUUUUGUGCAAUUGUACACAUUUUGCCAUGGGUGGGAGAUAAGAUUUUUCAAUUUUAUAACUAAUUUCAUGUAAUUCUACAUUUUCAUUAUAAUUUUAUGCAAUUCUACACAUUUUGCCAUAGGGUGGAGAGAAAUGUUGACAGUUUUUAAUAUGAUAUCUGAGUGAGACUGAGAAAUCUGUUGGGGCUUCCAGACCGGUAAUUCGACCAUGAUUACAACAUUUAGAUAGCUGGCCACUAGACUAAUUUACCAAUCUAAAAAUGUUUAGCUGACAUGGGCUUAUUCAGUGGCUGACAUAACAAGAGAAACUGCUGAUGCGCAACCAAAUUUUGAAAUUGCACCUUGUGUAUUUUACUAUUCUAACUUGCAAGUUGAGACCCCGACUGAGUUUCAAUUGUUUUUAUUUUUUUCAAUUGAUCCGAGGGCCUGUCCAUCCCUGAUCUAUUGGUUUGCAAUACUGAGAAGCCCAAGUCUUAUUGGAUGAUGAUAAAGUGGAACUAACUUAUCUAAUGUUGUUUCAUAACCUAACAGUAGAGUCUUCAGCAAAGUUUACUCCAGGUUAAUUACAGACAGGGGAUUCGCAGUGCAGCAAUCCUGCCUUGAAAUAUCUGCAUUUAUGUCAUAUUUUCAUGAACAGCAGAAUACGCUCAAAAUAGGAGAUAACAGGUUCCUUGUUGCCUGCACACUUUUUGUCUGUUUCAGAAAUGGAGAGAACAGGAGCUAAAGUAGAGAAAAAGUGCUGCACAUGUUGGCACGUCGGAGAUGGAAUAUUGUGUGUGUGUAAUGCUGACAGGUGCGUGGCUGAAUUAAGACAAAUGUCCUUGUCUCUUUGCUCCCGACACAGGGCUUCUGGUGGCAAAACUGAUUACAUCUUAAUCUCGCUUCUUGGAGGGAGACAAUGGCUCUAUGCUCUCUGUGCUUUGGUUUCAGAUGCUGGUAGUAGAGAAGGUUGUCAAAGAGGAGAAUGCAUAGCAGCAAACCACUUCUAACAUGGCUAAAAGUAGGUGAUGCUCUGAGGCACGCACGCACGCACACACGCACACAGUGUCCUGUAGGCUCUGUCUCGCCUCUGUUUGGUACUCAGGGUUGUUGUAGUGGUAAGUCAACCAGUAGAGUAUGCAUUUUAUACAACAGCCUCCAUUUAUAUGGGUUAAUGAGAGAGAACUGAGUACAUGUGUACUCACACACAAUGCAUGCAUUUAUGCAUAUGCACACACAAACAAUGCAUACAUGCAUCCAUUCACACACUAUGGUUAAGUAACAACAUUUUCUUUGUUUUACCUGCAGCCUGAGUAGGCUAUUUAUCAAUCAUCAUUAUUAUUAUUAUUAUUAUUAUAUAUUUUUUUUGGUCCCCUUUUCCCCCCAAUUUCGAUCUUGUCUCAUUGCUGCAACUCCC